AGCAGCCGCGGUAAUUCCAGCUCCAAUAGCGUAUAUUAAAGUUGUUGCAGUUAAAAAGCUCGUAGUUGAAUUUCGGGACCAAUAUGUCGGUCGUGCCUCGGUACGUACUGGCAUCGUUGGUUUCUCCUUUCUGAAGAACCAUGAUGUCAUUUAUUUGGUGUCGUGGGGAAUCAGGACUGUUACUUUGAAAAAAAUUAGAGUGUUUAAAGCAGGCUCACGCUUGAAUACAUUAGCAUGGAAUAAUGAAAUAGGACGUUUGAUUCUAUUUUGUUGGUUUCUAGGAUCGACGUAAUGAUUAAUAGGGAUAGUUGGGGGCAUUAGUAUUCAAUUGUCAGAGGUGAAAUUCUUGGAUUUAUUGAAGACUAACUACUGCGAAAGCAUUUGCCAAGGAUGUUUUCAUUAAUCAAGAACGAAAGUUAGGGGAUCGAAGACGAUCAGAUACCGUCGUAGUCUUAACCAUAAACUAUGCCGACUAGGGAUCGGAUGAUGUUAAUUUUUUAAUGACUCAUUCGGCGCCUUA
rnacentral:rRNA from 1 species